rnacentral:tRNA from 1 species
GCCUGGGUGGCUCAGUCGGUUGAGCGUCUGACUUCAGCUCAGGUAAUGAUCUCGCAUUCGGUGGGUUCGAGUCUUGCAUCGGGCU